UAGUAGGGUGGUGCAAAAGUAAUAGCGGUUUUGCCAUUACUUUUCAUUGUUGCCAUUAAAGGGGAAAGUAAUUGCGGUUUUGCCAUUACUUUUGCACCACCCU
rnacentral:miRNA from 1 species